rnacentral:rRNA from 1 species
UAAGACGAAGGGGGCAAGCGUUGUUCGGAAUUACUGGGCGUAAAGGGCGCGUAGGCGGCCUGAUAAGUCAGCCGUGAAAGGCCUGGGCUCAACCUGGGAAUUGCGGUUGGGACUGUUGGGCUGGAGAGCGGGAGAGGAUGGUGGAAUUCCCAGUGUAGAGGUGAAAUUCGUAGAUAUUGGGAAGAACACCGGUGGCGAAGGCGGCCAUCUGGACCGUAUCUGACGCUGAGGCGCGAAAGCGUGGGGAGCAAACAGGAUUAGAUACCCUGGUAGUCCACGCUGUAAACGAUGAGUGCUGGACGUUGGUGGGCUUGCCUGCCGGUGUCGCAGCUAACGCGUUAAGCACUCCGCCUGGGGAGUACGGCCGCAAGGUUG